GGAGGUGAGUGCAGUCUGGUGACUACCCUGGUCUUCAAAACCUGUGACUCGUUGUGAGACGAAUGGUGGGUUCGAUUCCCAUACACCUCC
rnacentral:tRNA from 1 species